CCUACGGUGCGCAGCAGUGAGGAAUAUUGGUCAAUGGACGCAAGUCUGAACCAGCCAUGCCGCGUGCAGGAAGACGGCUCUAUGAGUUGUAAACUGCUUUUGUACGAGGGUAAACGCAGAUACGCGUAUCUGUCUGAAAGUCUCGUACGAAUAAGGAUCGGCUAACUCCUUGCCAGCAGCCGCGGUAAUACGGAGGAUUCAAGCGUUAUCCGGAUUUAUUGGGUUUAAAGGGUGCGUAGGCGGUCGGAUAAGUUAGAGGUGAAAUCCCGAGGCUCAACUUCGGAAUUGCCUCUGAUACUGUUCGGCUAGAGAGUAGUUGCGGUAGGCGGAAUGUAUGGUGUAGCGGUGAAAUGCUUAGAGAUCAUACAGAACACCGAUUGCGAAGGCAGCUUACCAAGCUACUUCUGACGUUGAGGCACGAAAGCGUGGGGAGCAAACAGGACUAGAUACCCGAGUAGUC
rnacentral:rRNA from 1 species